UGAGAUCAUGUGAUAUUUACUUUCUCUGACUGGCUUAUUUCACUUAGCAUAAUGCUCUCCAGUUCUAUCCAUGCUGUUGCAAAUGGUAAGAGGUCUUUCUUUUUUAUGACAGCAUAGUCCGUUGUGUAGUUGUACCACAUUACUUUUACUUUUUUUAAAAUUUAGCAAAUAUUUACUGAGGCCCUACUAAGUCCUAAAUAACCAUGAAUAAAAUAGAUGAAGUCCUCAUGUUUAUCAAGCUUGCAGAUCCUGGGCAAGACCUUUAACCUCACUCUGCCUCAGUUUCUUUAUCUGCCAAAUGGAAACACUAACCCCGAUCUCAUGGGGCUCUUGCAAGUAUUAAGUGGGAUAAUGUUUAUGAUGGCCACCUAGCAUUAUUCCAUGGUAGCUGCUUAGUGUUUAUGUCAGAAUGUAUUUUGCACCAAGCCCUAGCUAGGUGCUAUAAGAAAAGAGGUGGCAUUUACAUUAUAGAAAAGUUGAGAAGUGAGGAUGUUGAAAAGGACUUUUAACAAGUGAUUUAUGAAGCACUUUCAUGUGCAUUAUCUAAUCAGGGCCUGUGCAAUAGAACUGUAUGCUAGACCGGGUGGGCGGCCUCAGAGAAAGGCCACCAAUGAAGAGGAUGUGGGGGAGAGGGAGACGCUGGCUGCCAGAAUUGUAAGAGAGGUCUUCCCCCUGGUGGAGAGACUGAAAAAUGUGCUGUGGGAGGUGGUAUUGCAAAUGUCCUAAAAUGUGGUGAUGCAUCCAGAGGCUGAGAGGAUUUUGACAUCAGAGGGCCAGAGGAAGGACAGGAGGAUGGGUAGGUGAGCCGGAAUUCAGCCUGUUCCAACUGGGGCUGAUUCAGGUGCAUUUCUGGUAUAGCAGCGCAUUUUUGGUGGGAAAAAAUAUCAAGAUAAGAGGACCAGCAUCCAGUUCCCAGCUUACAGUAGCCCUGCGUUUCCUCAUCUGUAAGUAGAGGUGCACCCCCCACACCCACAGUGAGUGGAUAUGGAUGUUCCAUGGGAGCACAUGGAACUGCUGUUCUCCCGUCACUUCUCUUGCCUUGCAAGAUGGACUUGCAGUAAAACUCCUAGGCUGUGGGAGCACUUGCAUUUUGCAGAUUCUAGUUGUUUCUCUUUGCCAGGAUACUGAAACUAUAGUUCCCUCUUCUUGAUCAUAAAAUUUUAAACUUAUAUAUGUAGUGUUCUACACUGUACAGUGUAGAACAUUUCCCAACAUCAUUAUAUCAUGUUGAAUAUUUGCUAUGGCCAGGGGUUUUAUAAAGGGAAACAUUUAUAGUAUAGUGGCUAAGUUCUGGGCCCUUACAAUUGAGUGACUAAGGUUUGAAUUCU